rnacentral:rRNA from 1 species
GUGUCAGCAGCCGCGGUAAUACGGAGGGUGCAAGCGUUGUCCGGAAUCACUGGGUGUAAAGGGUGUGUAGGCGGGGCUGUAAGUCAGAGGUGAAAUCCCACGGCUCAACCGUGGAACUGCCUUUGAUACUGCAGCUCUUGAGUCCCGGAGAGGUGGCUGGAAUUCGUGGUGUAGCGGUGAAAUGCGUAGAUAUCACGAGGAACACCAGAGGCGUAGGCGGGUGGCUGGACAGGUACUGACACUGAGGCACGAAAGCGUGGGGAGCAAACAGGAUUAGAUACCCUGGUAGUCCACGCCGUAAACGAUGGAUGCUCGAUGCUGCGGCGUUUUUGCUGCAGUGUCCAAGCUAACGCAUUAAGCAUCCCACCUGGGGAGUACGCUCGCAAGAGUGAAACUUAAAUGAAUUGACGGGG